AAACUUUUAUCAACGGAUCUCUUGGCUCUCGCAUCGAUGAAGAACGCAGCGAAAUGCGAUAAGUAAUGUGAAUUGCAGAAUUCAGUGAAUCAUCGAAUCUUUGAACGCACCUUGCGCCCUUUGGUAUUCCGAAGGGCAUGCCUGUUUGAGUGUCAU
rnacentral:rRNA from 1 species